rnacentral:lncRNA from 1 species
AAUAAGCCCAUCCAAACGGGCUCUUAGAUUGUUGCCUUUUACUUUUUGACUUUUUGUUGGUUUCUGUUUCAUUUCUCCACUGCUACACCUGUAGUGCUUAGUCAGACUACCAUUGCUUGACCUUACCAGGACCUUUCAAAGAUAAUCAAAAUUUCGAAUUCAUCUUUAUUGCCUUGUUGAUUUUAGAAUAAUUGGCAUAAUUUUAGGAUAAGGCCGAAAAUUUACACUUACAAUAAUUUUACUUCAAGAGGCAAUUGUGGAUUCAGAUUUAGACAUUAAUGUGGAUUGUGAAACUUCCAAGUUUAUUUAUAGAUAUUUAUGUGUAGAAACACUUUCUGCAUUAUUAGCCUUAACCCAUAAGAGAUGGUAAUAGUGUUGCACCCAUGUAGAAACACUUUCUGCAUUAUUAGCCUUGACCCAUAAGAGAUGGUAAUAGUGUUGCACCCAAGGGUGUGGCCUAGUGGUCAACAAAGUGGUGAGAAUCAUGAGAUCUCAGGUUCAGAUCCUAGCUGAGGCAAAAAACGUUAGGUGAUUUCUUCCCAUCUAUCUAAGUCUUGGUGGAUACAGUUACCUAUUGCUGGUGGGAGGUGGCAGGUAUCCGUGAGAUUAGUCGAGGUCCGCGCAAGCUGCCUGAACACCACGGUUAUCACAAAAAAGAGAGAGAUGGUAAUAGUGUUUCGUGGAUGUGAACAGAUCUCUGGCGAUCAAAGAUGCAACCUUUGUAGAAGCAUAAACUCUGCUGCAUGUUCAUAGGCUUAUUCAACCUAUUCAAAACUUUGCAUAUAAGAAAGGUAUUUGCUUUGGCCCUUUAGGAAGAACCUCUGCUUGUAGAUCUGAUCUUAGUGAGAGAGUUGAGAUUAGGCUUUCACUAAGGGGCCGUUAUGUUACAAUACGGCUUAUGCAAGGAUUAGUUCUCUUGGUAUUGUUUUUUAUCCACUAUUUGGUAUGUUGUAUUAUAUUGACAAUUGCAUAAUUUCUAAGAAAAAAGGUAUAAAGUUAUCCCGGCUUUAAUUAUCCCACCCCCACAAGGUAUAAGUUAUCCCAGUAUUAAUUUUUAUCUUGAGAUAACUUAUAUUAGGUUUGCUAACCAAACAAAGUAUUGAGGUGGGAUUAAAUUUUUAUACCAGCACUAUAUUUACUUAUACCUCAUACCCAAACGACCACUAAAAGAAGAAUUUAUACUAAAGGAAGGAAACAACUGUUUGAAACUUAUAAUAUAACUAUGCAAAUUUAAUAUAUUUGGUCAUCUUUUCUUGUGGUUUCUGAUAUUAUCGAUUGUUGUUUCCAAAUUUACAUGCACAUCCCUAUGGUUGUAGUUUUUGACUGCAAGUACUUUUUGUGACCCUUUUGGUGAUUUGCCUUGCUGUUUGUAUUCAGUGUAGAUGGGAUAACAUCUCUCAAUGUGAUGCUCCUAUCUUCUUCUUAUCCCCCCC